CGCUCGCUUAAAGACGAAUUCCGUGAAGGUCGUCCAAAAACAGCCGUUGUGCCAGAAAACAUCGGUGCCGUACGUGAACUGAUAAUGCAAGACCGUCAUGUAACAUACCUUCAGAUAGAGGCAUGCCUAUGCAUUUCUCCCACCAGCAUACAUUCGAUAUUGCAUGAACACCUGGCCGUAAAAAAGGUUUGUUCUCGUUGGAUCCCGCACAAUUUGACAAUCGCUCAAAAAAGGCUCGUGUGGAUUGGUGUAAAGAAAUGCUGAAAAAAUACGAUCGCGGUGCUUCAAAAGACGUUUAUAAGAUCGCCACAGGUGACGAAUCAUGGAUCUAUGCGUAUGAGCCCGAAACAAAACA